UAUGACUGCUGGACACAGAGUUCUGGAGCUGGGGCCUUUUAUCAGGACCCUAGUGUCUGAGAGCAUGGCAAACUUCCUUCUGUUCCUUGCAGAGCCUACUUAAAGGACAUUGAAGAAAGAUGCAUUCAGCUGAGAUAUCCAUUCUCUUGUGCUGAAUUCCGACUGGAUUCUUGGACUUUCUGGUCCUGUAUCUUCUAAAGAAGAGACUCCCAGGGAGAAUCCAGCCCUGCCACAGUGUGUCAAGCCUCAGCAGCCCUUCAUGACCCUUUCCUGUCUUCAAAACAACUAUCACCUGGGGAACCUUUACACAUGACCAAGUCUUGCUGCCAGCUCUAAUACAGCCAUGGCUUCUGUGAACUACAGAUACUGUGUGCUGACCCAGAGAAAACAACUCUCAGAAGAUUUCACCACAACCAUGCAG